UAAUUUUCUUGAUGGCUUCAAGUUCCAAG
rnacentral:piRNA from 1 species